rnacentral:rRNA from 1 species
AGUGAACGCUGGCGGCGUGCCUAAUACAUGCAAGUCGAACGGAGUGGCGCACGGGUGAGUAAUAUAUAGCUAAUCUGCCCCUUGCUGGCGGACAACAGUUAGAAAUGCCUGCUAAUACUCCAUAGCAAGGGAUGGGACUUUAUCGUAUCAGCUAGUCGGUGGGGUAACGGCCUACCGAGGCUAUGACGCGUAACUGGUCUGAGAGGAUGAUCAGUAGAAUUGGAAGUGAGACAGGGUCCAAAAUCCUACGGGAAGGAGCAGUAGUGAAAAUUGCGCAAUGGGGGUAACCGUGACGCGGCUUCGCAGCGUAGAGGAUGACAGUUUUCGGAGCGUAAGCUCCUUUGUAUAGGGAAGCGGUACCUAACGAGUAAGCACCGGCUAACUCCGUGCCAGCAGCCGCGGUAAUAC